UGUCCCGCAUAUUAAUAACGGCUCCCUGAUGCCCGCAGUUUAUAUACAGUAUAGUUACCCAACAAUAUAAUUGCGACAGAAUAUAUUGAAGUAUAUUUUUCCUCCCAUCUCGUAUCUAUUACCUUUAGGGGUUACAUUUUUUGAAAUGGAAAUGUCCUUAUGAGCAUUUGAUUUAUGCUAAUCGAUGGACUGUUAUGUUAAUAAGUGCCGUCAUUCGGUUAUUUUUAUUAUGUUACAUUUU